GUUGUUCGCCAAUCGCCUAUAUACCUACUUCUUCGCCUUGAAAGAAGAAGUAGCACCACUGAGAAAGGACAGAAACUGUUUUGAAUGAAAGUUUUCCAAAACAAUUAAGAAGUUAUUUUUGGAAUACCCUCUAUUAAGUAAAAGCUUGGACUGGACUUUAUGCUCAGUGCUACACUGGAUGGAGACAUUGGGGCCUUUAGCAAGAGAAGCUGCCUUCAUCAAGUUUCCAUUCAAUGGAUUGCCAGCCCCAGUUGUAAUCAGUGAACUUUCUGAAGACCCCUGUGACGGAGCGAUGACCUGUCCAGGUGCCUCCUGACCUUUGACUGCCAGGGAGAUUGUGUAGAAACAGAGGAGGAAGACCAGGAACUGAACCCAGAAGAGCAAUGAGUACGAAAGUUUCUUCAGAUGCUUCCACCAACUGAACCAUGCAGGGCCCCAUUAACAGGAUACAACUUUCCAGCAUCACAGUGGAAUCCUGAGAUUCUGGAGACGAAGAUGACUGCUGGAGGAACUUAGUGUGUCGCCAUCAUUGAGACAAAUUAUAGAAAUGACUUUUAGAGUGUCAACCUAGCCGUUUCUAAUUUGAAGUUUCAGUGGAGGAAAAAAAAGUAAAAACUUUGCAUCUGUUCCAUAAAUCCUGUGUGAUUUAUCAGAAUUAGCUAAAUGAUCUCAUUAAAUGCUUUAAUAAAGAUGAACCCUAAUGGCCCAGACA